rnacentral:misc_RNA from 1 species
GAUGAAGAACGUAGCGAAAUGCGAUACUUGGUGUGAAUUGCAGAAUCCCGUGAACCAUCGAGUCUUUGAACGCAAGUUGCGCCCGAAGCCACUAGGCCGAGGGCACGCCUGCCUGGGCGUCACACGCCGUUGCCCCCCCAUCUACUCCUUCGGGAUUGCGGGGGGGCGGAUGAUGGCCUCCCGUGCGCCUAGCCGCGCGGUUGGCAUAAAUACCAAGUCCUCGGCGACGCACGCCACGACAAUCGGUGGUUGCGAAACCUCGGUUGCCCGUCGUGUGCGUUCGUCGCGCAUCGAGGGCUCGAAAAAAUGCUCGGCUCCGGCUGGGCUUUCAACGCGACCCCAGGUCAGGCGGGGUUAUCCGCUGAAUUUAAGCAUAUCAAUAAGCGGAGGA